GCUUGACGGUACCAGAGGAAUAAGCACCGGCUAACUCCGUGCCAGCAGCCGCGGUAAUACGGAGGGUGCAAGCGUUAUCCGGAUUCACUGGGUUUAAAGGGUGCGUAGGCGGGCAGGUAAGUCAGUGGUGAAAUCUCCGAGCUUAACUCGGAAACUGCCAUUGAUACUAUUUGUCUUGAAUAUUGUGGAGGUAAGCGGAAUAUGUCAUGUAGCGGUGAAAUGCUUAGAUAUGACAUAGAACACCAAUUGCGAAGGCAGCUUACUACGCAGUUAUUGACGCUGAGGCACGAAAGCGUGGGGAUCAAACAGGAUUAGAUACCCUGGUAGUCCACGCCCUAAACGAUGAUUACUCGACAUACGCGAUACACUGUGUGUGUCUGAGCGAAAGCAUUAAGUAAUCCACCUGGGAAGUACGACCGCAAGGUUGAAACUCAAAGGAAUUGACGGA
rnacentral:rRNA from 1 species